CUGCCAAAGUAUGCUAGGGAGAAGAAUUUCCCUUCAGCCUCUGUCACAUUGUCCGUGUCAUUCUCUGAUGACGGAUUUACAAAAUUAUGUGCAUUAAGUGCUUGUGUGAAGGGUUCAAUUUGAAAUGCCUCUUUGGUGAUCAUGUGGCUUGGUUAGCUGACUGCAGUUGCUAACUGUUUGAUUAGGACACUGUUGACACAAGCCAUAGUCUCACUUGCAUAAAGGCAUCAUUACAGCUUCAUUUCUCAGUUCCUCAAGAAAAAAGCUGCUAUGCUGAAAUUCUAUACUUCCAUAUUCCUGAAGUCCUUGUUCUCCUGCAUUUAGAGUUCGUGUUGUGUCGGCGGAGAUGGCUAUGAUUGAGUUCAAAAGGAAGUAGACAAUGCAAUACACUCCAGCAUUAGAGGAUGGAAGAAUGGUUUUGCCUAUGAAGAGGUAUGUCACUUCACGCAGGUGCAUCUAGAAGGUAUAGCAUUAAACCUCUAUAUAUUCUCGAAAUUAAUUCAACUAAGAUGCUCUUGAUCUCUAUCUGAGCUUGUACGUCUGGCAUUCCAAGUGACAAAGAAUUCGUGGUCCCAAAGCACUCUUAAGUUGUUCUCCAAGCGUGCAAAAAGAGAGCUUCUCUCGUGCCUUUUUCGGUGGCCGUGAUCCUUUUUUCAGUUUGCCUUAUGGGCACAAGGAUGCC